GCUUAGGGGUGGAAAUGAAAAGAAAGAACCAAAUUGUAAUAAUUUGUAGUAACUUGAUUGUAUUCGGAAGUUAAAUGUAAUAUGUAAAAAUUGAGAUGAAUACUUGUAAUAGCUUAGUAUUUAUGUUUUCGAUAUCUUCCUUAUGCAAUCUAUGUUUAAAUUCUGUUCCUUGCUGGAACUUCGCGAAUUGUAUGGAUUAUGAUGCCUAGGACGUGCAGGGGAGACUCUGUUCAUUCGGCGGUCUGUCGGUGUGCCUGAAUCCGACC
rnacentral:lncRNA from 1 species